rnacentral:rRNA from 1 species
GAUGAACGCUGGCGGCGUGCCUAAUACAUGCAAGUCGAGCGAACAGACGAGGAGCUUGCUCCUCUGACGUUAGCGGCGGACGGGUGAGUAACACGUGGAUAACCUACCUAUAAGACUGGGAUAACUUCGGGAAACCGGAGCUAAUACCGGAUAACAUGUUGAACCGCAUGGUUCAACAGUGAAAGACGGUUUUGCUGUCACUUAUAGAUGGAUCCGCGUCGCAUUAGCUAGUUGGUAAGGUAACGGCUUACCAAGGCAACGAUGCGUAGCCGACCUGAGAGGGUGAUCGGCCACACUGGAACUGAGACACGGUCCAGACUCCUACGGGAGGCAGCAGUAGGGAAUCUUCCGCAAUGGGCGAAAGCCUGACGGAGCAACGCCGCGUGAGUGAAGAAGGUCUUCGGAUCGUAAAACUCUGUUAUUAGGGAAGAACAAAUGUGUAAGUAACUAUGCACAUCUUGACGGUACCUAAUCAGAAAGCCACGGCUAACUACGUG